rnacentral:lncRNA from 10 species
GGGGAUCCCCGAGGCUUCUUGCUGGCUGGAAUGCAAUGAUGCGAUCUCGGCUCACUGCAACCUCCACCUCUCGGCUUCAAGCAAUUCUCCUGCCUCAGCCUCCCGGGUAGCUGGUACUACAGGCUCCUGCCACCACGCCCAGCAAUUUUUGUAUUUUUAGUAGCGACAGGGUUGUACCAUGUUGGCCAUCCUGACCUCAGGUGAUCUGCCUGCCUUGGCCUCCCAAAGUGCUGGGAUUACAGGCAUGAGCCACUGUGUUCAGUUGGCCAUACUGAUAGACUCCAGGCUUUGGGAAACUGAUGGCAUUUGGGGAUUUCCCCAGCAUGUCCUGUGAUGCUCUUGAUUCCUUGUGUCUCCAGUCAUGACAGAGAGAAGGCAUUCCUGGCUUGUUGGUCCACAUUUAUGAUUUGUUGAUGUUGUUGUUGAGAUGGAGUCUCACCUUGUCGCCCAGGCUGGAGUACAGUGGCGUGAUCUUGGCAACCUCCAUCUCUUGGGUUCAAGUGAUUCCUCUGCCUCAGCCUCCCAAGUAGCUGGGAUUAAAGGGGCGUGCCAGCAUGCCUGGCUAAUUUUCAUAUUUUUAGUAGAGAUGGGGUUUCACCAUGUUGGCCAGGCUGGUCUCGAACUCCUGACCUCAGGUGAUCCACCAGCCUUGGCCUCCCAAAGUGCUGGGAUUACAGGCGUGAGCCACUGUGCCUGGCCUGUGAUUUUUUUAUUUUUUCAGAAGGGGUCUCGCUCUAUUGCCCAGGUUGGUUCUGAACUCCUGGGCUCAAGAGAUCCUCCCGCCUCAGCAUCCUGAGUAGCUGGGACUACAAGUGUGAGCCACUGUGCCAGGCACAAUGGUCUUUUGUAGUGGAGAACCUCCUCCCUGGGACCACUGGAAGACACAGGCCAAGUUAUUGCUGAUAGGAAAACCAAGAGGUCCAACAGAACCCAAGAUGGAUCGGAUGGAAGAUGGCACAGGUGCCCGGGACGUGCAGCACUGGAGUGGGUGAUGGAUCCUGGAAUCUCUCCAUCCCUUUUUGGAGUGUACAUUCUGCAGUGAGAAACAGUGCCCCAGCACAAGUACUGAUGAGCUCUCCACUGCCGAAAUACAACUCUGUGACCAUGGCCAGCAGGAAGCCACUGAUGAGGGGAAACACAGUGUGACGGUGCCCAGGGAAAGAACCUGCUUCUUUGUGACAUCACGGAGCUGCUGAGCCGCUUGAACUUGGAGCCACUUUGAGUUGGGAAUUCUGGCUUUUUUGCAGCUGAAAGUGUGCCAACCCCGUACAAGAAGAACAGCUGCAGGUCUGCAUGUGGCGGCUCGCGCCAACACUUUGGGAGGCUGAGACAGGAGCAUCUGCUUGAGCCCAGGAGUUCGAUACCAGCCUGGGCAACAUAGUGGGAUCCUGUCUCUACAAAAAAUAAAAGUGAUGAGAAGAAUAGCCCUAAAAUCAUGAGAGUGGUUGCCCCUCGGGACGGCACCAAGGAAAUAGGACUGGUGCGGGGAGUAUAAUAGGAAUUCAUCUUUAUCUGUUAUCCUUUGUCUUUUUAUUUUGAGACGGAGUCUCAUUCUGUCACCCAGGCCGGAGUGCAGUGGUGUAAUCUCGGCUCACUGCAAUCUCUGCCUCCUGGGUUCAAGUGAUUCUCCUGCCUCAGCCUCCCGAGUAGCUGGGAUUACAGGCGCACGCCACCGUGCCUGGCUAAUUUUUUGUGUUUUUAGUAGAGACGAGGUUUCACCAUGCUGGCCAAGCUGGUCUUGAACUCCUGACUUCAUGAUCUGCCUGCCUUGGCCUCCCAAAGUGCUGGGAUCACAGGCGUGAGCUACCAAGCCCGGCCCUAUCUUUUUUAAAAUUAAAAAUAUCUGACACACGAGCCAGGUGCUGUGGCUCACACCUGUAAUCCCAGCACUUUGGGAGACUGAGGAGGGAGAAUCACUUGAGGCCAGGAAUUCCAGAUCAGCAUGGGCAACAUGGUAAGACCUCCGCCUCUACGACAAAUAGCCAGAUGUGGUGGCACACACCUGUAGUUCCAGCUACUCAGUAGGCUGAGGCAGAAGGAUUGCUGGGGCCCACAAAGUCAAGGCUGCAGUGAGCUGUGAUCAUGGCACUGCACUCCAGCCUGGGCAACAGAGUGAGACCCUAUCUCAGAAAAGAAAAACUCUGACAUAAAUGUGAUAAAAUGUUGACACUGUUUCUAUUAUAGCUGUAGGUGUGUGCACAGUUUACAGUUUUGUGUAAAUUCUUUCACUGUUUCCAAAAUAAGUAAAAACUAUUCCAUGGAAGUGUUUUAAAAUGGGAUCUUAAAAAGAAGGAGGAGGAGAAAAAGAAGAAGGAAAAAGAAAGAAGUUUUUCACUAUGUGAUUCUGUUUUCUCGAACUCCUGACCUCAAGUGAUCCACUCGCCAUGGCCUCCCAAAGUCCUGGGAUUACAGGCAUGAGCCACUGCGCCCGGCCUGAUUAUUUCUGUUUUCUAAAGCCUGGUCUGAGAACAACUGGAAAUGCCCUCCUCUCUCACACUCUGAGAAGCACUAGGAUUAGGUAGCAAGUUUGGCUCCCUGGGCCCCGCCACCCUGACCUCCUGCUCACGAUGGCUCUGGGUGCUGGGCUCCUUAGGACUGGGACGAGGCCAUUGCCCCUGGAAGCUAUGCAACAAGGAUCUGAUGGGUCCUGACCCCGCCCAUGCCCAUGGGGGUGUGUGCUGGGGGAGCAGGGGGCAUCCCCUGGACUUCCCAGAAGGAGGCAGGAUUCUCCGAGCUGGCUCCAUCCCAGCUCCUCCACAGGCAUGGGUCAGCAAAACCAGCCCCAGGAAUCGGAGACAUUUGGCAGGAAACAAGUGCUGUCUGGAACACAUCCCUAGGGGGCUGGCUUUAAUGAUGUCCUAGUUUGGGUUUCCCAGAAACUGACCCUGAGACAAGGAUUCUAAAGCAAGUAGUUUGUUUGGUAGGUGAUCCCAGGUAGUGGAGUGGUGGGUCGGUGGGUGAGACAGGAAGACAGCGACAAGCGUCGUGUUACCAACUCAGUCACCACCGUGGGCAAUGGGAGGUGAACCCCACUGAGGAGCUCACAGAGACAGCGUACAACACGCUGCUCAGGGUUACUGCAUCCAAAGGCAAAGGAGCUGGGGUAUUGAUACUCUGCCUGUCAGUCACCGGGGAGAGCUGCUGGGGCAGUGGGGAGGAGGGGAGGCAGCACUCUGGAUGCCAGCAGAGCAGGCUGAGGCCAGAGAAGACCCUGGGAAAAAGAGAUGAGGAUGCUGGCAGGUCGGAGUGGGGAAGGGGUGGGGAAAUGACAUGUCUGCCACCAAUUUCUAGCACUUAGAACAGUGACCAGCUGGGUCUGGCAUGAUGCCCACAUAUUCCUCUGUUACACAGCCUCUGUCCUCUACCUGGUAACAGAACCCCCGUUUCCUCUGGGUACCCACAUUCCCUGAUACAUCCUUCCCUACCCAUUAGGGGUUCCAAUGGUGGGGUUCACUUGUUCGACUGUAGGGGAGGACUUGUGACCCAGCCCCCACUGAUCAGUGUAUAACACCCCCAUGGCCUUAGCAAUUGUUUCUGAGAUUGGUCUGUUCCCUGAGCCAGGCUGGUAGGAUAGAAGCUGUCUUUCUAUGGCGCUGAAAAGCAGUAGGAUGUAAGCCUGGAGUUGCCGCAAGCAGGAAGAACCCCUCAGAGGAGGAGGCCAACACAGCAGACGGCAGAGCCAAGAGAGAGCCCACCCGGCAGCUCAGACACCUCUUCCUCCUUUCUGCAGCCGAGAUCUUGCACUCCUCAACUCCGG